AAAUAAUCUUUUUGAAAUUCUAUAGGAAUCCAAGAUAACUGAUUAUAUAAUACUAAAAUCACUCAUAUUUCAUAAAAAUAUAUUUAUCAAUCAUAUAUAAUAUAUUAUAAACAAAAUAUUACUAUAUCAUUAAUAUAUUAAUAAUUAAUAGAUUCUGUAAAAAUAUAUUUAUUAUUCCUAUAAAUUAUUAAAUUUUAUAAAAAUAUAUUAAUUAUUAUUAUAUAAUUAAUAUUUUUAUUUAUAUUUAUAAUAUAUUAUUUAUUAAUAUGAAUAUUUAUUUUGAUUAGAAAAAUAAGGCA
rnacentral:lncRNA from 1 species